CCCCGCCCCGUAGGUGGGGCCGGGAGCUUCACCCGUGGCGCCUCGAUGGGGCGCCUCUAGCAGGCGGGUGCAGCCUGUCCCGCGUACCCAGGCGUCCUCGGUACCCACGAAACGGAUCCAAAGAGUCUCAACACUAAUGUAACAUCCCACCCUGACCCAUCUUUGCCCUCUGAGAAAAGCGGCCCGAAAUGAGUUGAGUUAUUCAUCCCCACCGCGGAGUCAGGGACAAGGAGCAGUUGAGUGGCCGAGGAGUGAGAGAGAAUCGAAUCCACUCGGGUCCUCCAAGCUGUUGGUUACCCACUUGGGCUUUCACAGCAAAGCUGCCAAAUCCCAGAAUUGAGGCCUCGGUGAAAAGCGCGCUGAGACUUGGGAGGAGAAGAUGACAGUGUUCUCCCUAAGGAUGAAGUUUGACUUUU
rnacentral:lncRNA from 1 species